rnacentral:rRNA from 1 species
UUAAGCAUAAACGGUGAAUACCUCGACUCUUAAACCGAUGAAGACCGUAGCAAACUGCGAUAAAUCAUUUGUAUUGCAUUACUACCUUCAAAAUCGAGACGUUGAACGCAUAUCGCAAGGCACAGACUUUUAGUCUAGGCUUUACACGUGGGUGAGAGCGGUA